AUUGAAGUAACUUUAAAACCGAAGACAGUUGGUGGGGAUGUUCCCCUUAAAGUUUGCCAACCGAGGUUGAAAGAAUAGAGUUGCAUGUUUACCUCUUUCGCCCGGUUGGCAACAACCGGGGUUUUUAUUUAAGGAG
rfam:Caldisericum exile AZM16c01 DNA, complete genome.